CUAAUAUUAUAAGACAACUAUACAAAAAGUAAUAAAUUUUCUUUUAUAGAGAAAAAAUGUGUAAAAAAAUAUAAGCAAAAUUCAAGGUAAACAAUUAAAAUUAAUAAGUAUCGGUAGCAACACUUGAGUCAUAUCAGACUAAAAAAAAUGGCUCGGUGGUCAAAAAUUUUCCAACAAUGAAGAUUUGAUGUUGGCUAUUUUGAGGAUCUUGUCGAUUCUUAUUAUAAAAAGGGUAUCGAACUUAUUGGACAUCGAUGGGAAAAGUAUAUGGAGCUAUAAGGAGAAUACUUUGAAAAAUAAAUAUAUUUGUUUACAAAA